AGUACUUACGAAUUCCAAUAACGGUUACAUUCUGAUUUUUAAACGUUUCGAUCUAUUUCGCUGUAUGGCCGUAAUUAGUUCAUAUUUAUUGUCAUUACCAUGCGCCCAUACAUACCGCCAAAUAGCGUCGCGCCAUGAAACGUGAAACCAGAAUUUAAUAUAUACGUUGAAAAGUUCCUAAAAAAGUCAUUCAUUUUACGACAAAUAUUUUCACACCAAGUGUUGGCGCGUGAUAAAUUUGGCACUCCAUCGAAUGCCAUCGCAUGAAGAAUAUAUACAUUUGAAUGUGAAAUAUUACAUGUAUGGUGAUUUUGGCGUGAUUUCGCGCUUCACGUCGUGAAAUUGUAUCGGUAUGUCUGGGCGCACAUUAUAAUCUCACCUAAACAACACAAGGACGAUCUGUCAAUCUCAAUGUAAACAAACAAACCUUCAUGGCAAACGCAGUGUGCUUGCAUUUUCAGGAUCCGAAAAAACGUUCUGAAAUAGGAUGAGUGUAGUUUAAGAUUGAUUGUAGAUAAGUUUAUUUAAACGACCCUCAUCCCAUUUCACCAUGUAUCGAAACUAUCUAUGCCGCGUUUGUGCGUGUACCGAAACUACAAGUGUGUUGGUGAACAUCUUUGAAAAACAUGGAGCACAGGACAGCGUUGCCGAUAUUCUUUUGGAACUAGCGGAUAUCAAGGUGACGGUCGACGAUGGAUUUCCCCAACAGUGCUGUUUGCGAUGCCAUACAGAGGUCGUUCAGGCUGUAUCAUUGCGCCGUAAAUGCAUGGAAUCAGAGAAACUUUUUCGAAUCAAGAUUGAACCAGAUUCUUGCCCUUUCAGUUUUACCGACGAUCCAUUCGAUAAUCAAUCCGAUAACUUGUCCAUUGAUUCUUCAAAUCUCGUUUCGGAAAAGCAUCCGAAGUACCAUUGCCGAGAGUGUUCCUUGGAUUUCUUCGAUUCAGAUGCACUGCAGAAACACUACGAAUCAAAGCAUGCUAAUGUGAUCUAUAGUUCAACAGGAUCAAUGUUGUCAGGUAGCCAAUACGAAAACUUGUCCGAUUCGAGUAACCAAAUCUACCAAUGCCGUGAGUGUUCGUUGGAGUUACUGGAUUCAGAUGCACUGCAGGAACACUACGACUCAAAGCAUGCUAAUGUGAUCUAUGGAUGGGAGACGAUUGGCUUAAGUGAAAUCUCUCCAUUCGAUAGCACUGACGAUGAACCAGAGACGAAAGACGACAUCUUAAAUUGUCCAUCGGAUGUGCAAAACAAAGCAAAUCAAAACAAUCCUACACUUGAAUGUUGCGCCUGUAAAGCACGAUUCAGAACUGAGACUGAUCUGUUUUACCAUUCUAAACAGGUACACGCCCCUAAUGCCAUCGAAAUCAACGAACCAACCCCAAAUCGGUGCAACGUAUGUUAUCAAACAUUUACCACCGCAUGUGUGUUAAAGGAGCAUCAAAAGGCUAGAAGCAUCUUAAACUAUAUGUGCGUAACUUGUGGCAUGAUGUUCACCAGACAACAUAAAUGUCUUGCACAUGAAAGUACGCAUAUAGACCAUAAACUUAAGUGCGAAGUUUGCGGGAAGCUAUUCGCCAAUAUGAAGUACUAUGAGAUACACAAGAAUAAGAUGCACGGCGAUCAGGCCGCACGGAAGCGAUACAUAUGUAGUAUAUGUGGUGCAAAGGUGGUUUCGACCUCAUACCUUAAAGUGCACAUGAAGCUACACUCUGAAGAUCAUCCGUAUUCCUGUGACUUGUGUGGGGCCCGGUUCAAAAUAGUGGCCUACCUAAACUGGCACAUGACUAGACAUAAAGGUAUCUACACGUGCCAGCAGUGCGGCCUGACUUGCAAAGGGCCCUCUGAGCUGAACGAACAUAUGAACAGCCAUGGUGAAGCCAGGAAGUAUAGUUGCAUUAUAUGUCCAUCAGCGUUUCGAUUGAAACAUGCCCUUGAGAAACAUUUAAGAAAUGUACAUAAACGAAAGCGAAAGUAGUUUUCUUUUUACCGCGGAUACGGUUUCUUUUGGGAAGAAGAAUAUAAAGGCUAACGUUCCUAGCUACACACUGUAUAUGCAGCACACCUACUCCAUAUAGCACUAACAAUGAGAAGGAAACAACGUAUACUAAAUUAUAGAUAAAUGCAGAGUACAACGGUAUUGCUCAUGUUUCGAUCACAUAAGAAAAAGAAGAUUCCGUCGGUUCUCCAAAUAAACGCCAUGUAAAUCGAAAUUCCGUUUCACAGCAUGUCCGAUCAAAUCACCUCCGAUGAAGCACAGACACAAACCUCUAUUUAGAUACAUUUCAAUUUCAUCUAAAGUUUGCUGCUUGGGAUCUGUCGCUGUCAAUGUAAACAAACCAA